GAUGAACGCUGGCGGCGUGCCUAAUACAUGCAAGUCGAGCGAACGGACGAGAAGCUUGCUUCUCUGAUGUUAGCGGCGGACGGGUGAGUAACACGUGGAUAACCUACCUAUAAGACUGGGAUAACUUCGGGAAACCGGAGCUAAUACCGUAUAAUAUUUUGAACCGCAUGGUUCAAAAGUGAAAGACGGUCUUUCUGUCACUUAUAGAUGGAUCCGCGCUGCAUUAGCUAGUUGGUAAGGUAACGGCUUACCAAGGCAACGAUGCAUAGCCGACCUGAGAGGGUGAUCGGCCACACGGGAAGUGAGACACGGUCCAGACUACUAAGGGAGGCAGCAGUAGGGAAUCUUCCGCAAUGGGCGAAAGCCUGACGGAGCAACGCCGCGUGAGUGAUGAAGGUCUUCGGAUCGUAAAACUCUGUUAUUAGGGAAGAACAUAUGUGGAAGUAACUGUGCACAUCUUGACGGUACCUAAUCAGAAAGCCACGGCUAACUACGUG
rnacentral:rRNA from 1 species